ACUGUGCGCCCAGUGUGCACGGUGCAGUCAUUCUGCCCAGCAGGGAAAUCUGGGCUUUUUCCGCUGCUUUUCGCGACUGUGUUGUUUUGCUGUGCGUCUGUUGCUCGCCUCGAUUGUGUUGCUUUUUUGUGUGUAAAAUGGUGUGCUCGUGGUGUGCAGCGAAUGCCCACCAAUAGUUUCGUUGCAGUUGCUCGCAAACCGAUUGCCAGCUAGGCAAUUGCAUUCUUCGGUGCGUGCCGUGAUCCCCGAAGGGGGCCCGAAAGAAAGUACGUACACGGCAAUGGUUGCUAGUGUGCGGAUUGUGUUCGAUCCGCUAGAUGAUCAUCCAUGAAAAGUGACAGUGUUGAAGGUUGAAGAGGCAACAACAAAAAAGUAUGACGAACUAAUUAGAAGAAAAGAAUUGACUACGAAAUCGCUUGUGGAACGCUUGUGAAAAUGGCCUCUAGCGAAAACAACAGCGACGAUGGAGGACACAAUGUCUUUUCAGGGUUCUCGAGCUCGAACGGUAGCGCCCCGGAGUACGAACAUCUGAUGCAGUUCGAGUAUCUCAAGACCAAGUACCGCGAUGUGGUGUCCCAGCUGAAGACGGUUUCGAACGAAAAGCAACGGCUGGAGCACGAUUUCCAGCUGCUCAAGAAGGAGCUGGAAGGCAAGGGCGACUUCUUCAACAGCACCUACCACGAGUACAGCGGGCUGAAGCAGAAGUACGACACGCUGCGCCACCGGUAUGAGGAAAUGACGAAAGACCCAUCGCACUACAUCAAAGUGUGCGAGGAGCUCAAAAAGGAGCGCAACAAGUACAAGGAGCUGCUGAAGGCGACGGAACUCGAGCUCGAGACGGUGCUGUCGGAGCGGGGCAGUGUGCUGAAGGAGAACCAGAAGCUGUACGACAAGAACGAAGCACUCGAGCGGGAGGUGCAGGGUAAGGUGAAGGAGUGCGGAGCGUUGAAGGAAAAGAUUGAGCUGCUAAAGACGCGCCAAGAGUACCAGCAGCUGUCGAACGAGAGCAGCUGGAGCAAGGAGCUGUCGGACAGCAAGGAUAAGUUCAGUAUUGUGUCGGAAAAUUUGGAAUCGGCCAACCAGGAGAUUGAGCGGCUGAAGAAAGCGCUCGACAAAGCGAAGGCGGAGAUAGCGAAAGCCGUCCACGACACCGAGGUCGCCAAACAGCGCCGGGACUGGGCGAUAUCGGAGAGGGAAAAGAUUGUCCAGGAGCGGGACAGUGUGCGGAACUUGUGCGACGAAAUACGCAAAGAGCGCGACACGGCCACGUCGAAGCUGCUGGCAGCGAUACGGGACAAGGACGAUGCGCACAAGAAGAUCGAGCUGCUAACCGAUCAGUUGGAGCAGGUGACACGCGACAGUAUUAACAACAAUGCCACUGCGGGAGGCCAAAACGCGUCCAAUUUGCCGGGGGGCGGUGGACCCCAGUCGCAACCGAACGGUCCCGGGACUGGUACGCCAACCACGCCGAACGCCUCGUUGGUGUCGAUGAACAACAGCAACAGUCAUCGGAAUUCGCACUACAGCAGCUUCAGCUCGAUCUACAACCUGGAAUCGCUGCAGCAGUACGACGUGGAGAUGGUGGAAAUCGACACCUCGCCCCUGCUGAGCAAUUCCUCCGACUGGGGGCUCACGAUCAGCGGCGAUCUCGAUCACAGCUACGGCAGCGAUCACAGCAACACGAAGAAUCUCUGCGGCCCGUACGUGGCUGCCGUGGAGCACGACUCAAUCUUUGCCGGCAAGCUCAAGCCGAACGAUAUCAUCUGCCAGAUAAACAACCACGACUGCAGCACGUUCUCGCGGCGCAUGAUCUAUCGCACGAUCCGCAACAGUGUGCCGCAGUGCAUCAUUACGGUGAAGCGACCGACGAAGCGCUUGCUGCCGGUGCAGAUCCCAUUCACCAGCACGAACCGCAACCACGGUCUUUGCCUCGAGCUCGGGCUGUACAUCGCGAAGCUGGAGCCGAACUCGAUCGCGGCCAAGGACGGCCGGCUGGCGGUCGGGGAUCGGAUUUUGUCCAUCAACAACAAACCGAUGGAAAGCAUCAAGAACAUCAACGAUGUGCACGCGUACAUUAACGAUAUGCGCAACAGCAGCCUCAAUCUGAUCGUCAUCAAGGAGAUGCCCGAAAGCCAUCCGAGCUACGCCAGCUUCUACCAGCCCCGGUUGAAGCACAUCCGCAACACUACCAGCUGCACGCAGACGGACAACUCGCUCUCGACGUUCGGCAGCCAGCACACCACGAACACGAGCAGCGUGAACACGAGUGCCAACGCAAUGACCAUGAUGAACCAUCGGUUGAGCCUGGAGUUUGACAAUAACAAUCACUUCCUGCCGUCGGUGAUGCCUUCCUCGGCGUACCAGCCUUCAUCGAGCACGCCCAACUCGGUCGCGGCUAGUACCCCCUCGUCGACCAAAUCGGCCUCCAAGCUGACGGAGUUUAUUCAGAAGAUUAAGGACAAGAUGGCGAUAAGCAAUCACAGCAAGGAGGCGGGCGGUCCGGGCGGUAGUCAGGAGCACGAUGCGAUCGCGGCCCUCGAUUCCGUGCUGGACAGCGAUGAGCAGUCGCGGGAUGGGAAACGCUCGAAGCGUCGCAGCAAGAACGACCCGCACCACCAGUCGGAGGUGCCGCGUGGGACGUGGCCCAGGGUUAACAUGGCAAUGCACAUUAACGAGACGCAUCCCGGAACGAUAGUGCAGAAGAAGAAGAUCAGACCCCAGCUAACCAUCCCGCGAGGAGGUGGUGAUCUGGACAAUAACAACUACUUCGCCGCUGUGCUGAAUGAAGCCCAUACGAUUCCGACCACUUUCCAACCGAACACGGUGCCUGGUGGAUCGCUGUCUCCCGGAGGGAUUACCAGCGGUGGUGUUGGUGGUGGUGGUGGUGGAGGAGCAAAUGCGUCAGGACCGGGCGGAAAUGGUGGUAUCGUUGGAUCCGGCCCAUCUUCCGGACAGGGAACGCUGCCGAGCUCAAGCAAACGCAACUCGAACCCCGUUAUGCCGAUGGAUUUAAACCGUCUGCUUGCCGCAAAGUAUGGAGAAGCGACUGCCGGGAUGGCUGGUGGCCCUAUCACUGGAGGGGUGCCGACAGGGGUGCCUACGAUGGGCAAAUCCAACACUAUUGUGCCGUUUCCGCGAUCUUCGACGUACGAUGAUCGGCACCAUGACGGUGGCGGGUUGAAUCUAAACAAGCAUCGCUUCAGUCUGAACUUUCCACCGACGAGCAAGCAACAAAUGCAGCAGCAGCAGCAGCAGCAACUGAUGCUUGCGCCACACCAGCAGCAAAACUCGCUCGAUUUCAUUCCAAUUCCAACCUCUUCGUCGCAGAAGAGCAAUCACUCGAUCGAUUCGGCCAGUGCACCCCACUCACUGUCCAAAAGCCCACCGACUUACUAUUCCGGAACGGGGGCGGCCUCGCUCGGUAUUCCUACGUCGAAAACGACGGAAUUCUUCAUGACGUCCAAGAUCACCAAAUCGUUGUCGAAGUACUCGAGCGACAACGAGAGUAUCGAUACGGAAACGCUUUCCCUCGGCGGUGGAAUGGGCGGUAUGCAUGGGACGGGGACGCCCAUGAGUGGCAUGUCGGCGAACAUGGGCGCAACGGGUGGCGGUGGUGGCAACCAGGGCAUCGCAGGCACGAUGGUUGGUCCGGGAAAUACCAACACACUUCCACUGACCCACAUGCGUAAACAUUUGAUGGGCAACAGCGGUUCGGGAGGUGGAGGAGGUUCGUCCUCCAACCGGAGCGGCAGCACAGUACACCCAGCAGCGACGGCUGGUUACGGAGCAACCAUAUUUCCCGGUUCCUAUCCCCAUCCGUUCAUGCGCAAUCACCACCAACCGGGCAGUGGCCAGGGCGGUGGCGGUGGAGCUAGUGCCAGCAUUGCAAACGAUGCCUUGCUGAGCUAUCCGGCGACUGCCAGCGGUGGAGGAGGUGGCGGAGGCACUGGGCCAGCAGCAAUGGGACAUCAUUCGCACGGUGCUUCCAUGGACUAUUCUGCGUAUCGGUACAGUCAGAUUCAAUCGUCGAAGGAAGACGUUCCUAUAUCCGGUUAUACGGGCGGCUAUGAGGGCGGUACGUUUCCUCGGAACAAAAGCCACCUAACGAGCAAUAGCAACCAUCAUCACCAUCAUCACCAUCACCACCAUCAGGGAGGCUUUCGCAUUCCCUCGAACCAGAGUGUAACGAGCCGGGGCAGUGGCAUCAAGAUCAGCAACGGUUCGAUCGAUUGCAGCAGCUCCGAACGUGCCUCGCCAAUACCAACGUUCGAGGUGCAGGUGCUGAAACCAGGGCACGCUCCACCCGGGGGCGGCGGGCCCGGCUCCAACAAACGCAGCUCCCUGCAGGACUAUGGCCACUCGAAGCCGAACGUAGGCGAGCUGCGGCUGGUGCAGAUCGACAAGAGUGAAAUGUCGCUCGGAAUCAAAAUUUUCUGCCGACGCAAUGGAGGGGGCGUGUUCGUGUCGAAUGUGGGAGAAAACAGCCUAGCCAGCAAGGUCGGUUUGCACAUAGGCGAUCAGCUGCUGGAGGUGUGCGGGAUAAACCUACGCAAAGCGACGUACGAACUGGCCGCGCAUGUGUUGCGCCAGUGCGGCAACUCCAUUACCAUGCUCGUGCUCUACAAUCCGGUGGUGUACAGCAACCUCACUACCAGCGAGGACAAUCUUGCUCGUUCGGGGUCGCCCACACCGCAGAACUCGCCGCGCUCGAUGGGUCGCUCGCUCAUAUCGGCCGUAAACACCACGGCCGUUAACGCUAUGACCGGCACAAUGACCGCCCCUAAAACGUCGUCCCUGGUGAAGGCACAAGAGUUCAGCGACAGUCUGGAGCACCAAACGCAGCUGCACGAUGACGAGGAGGACGGUUCCGUGGCUGUCGGUAGCUCCGGCGUCGGCGGCGGUCAAAGCAACAUGUACAAAGAGCAGCCGCGCGAGAUCUACAUUGAGACGCGUAAAACGUCCAACCUGGGCAUAACGUUGGUCGGUGGUAAUGCUUACGGCAUCUUUGUGCAUGGUGUACAGAAGGAUUCGAUCGCGGAUCAGGCCGGACUGCUGGUGGGCGAUCAGAUACUGGAGUUUAACGGUACAGAUAUGCGUCGCUCGACGGCGGAGCACGCAGCGCUCGAGAUUGCAAAGCCCGCCGACCAUGUGAAGGUGCUCGUGUUGUACAACAUUCAAAAGUUCAAUCAAAUCAAAGAUAAACCUGGAGAUGCACUGUACAUCCGCGUCGGGUUCGAUCGUAACUGCGAUCAGGGUGACUCGGAGCUAUCGUUUACGAAGGACGAGGUGCUGUUCGUCGACAACACCAUGUUCGGUGGAAUUCCCGGUAAAUGGCGUGCUUGGAAGCUGGACGAAUAUGGCCACAAGAGGCAAUGCGGCAUCAUUCCCAACAAGCUAAAAGUGGAGGAAGAGCUACGAUUGCUCGGAGAUCCGGGUGACGUUGAUACAACGGCGCGCCGAGGAUCAACUUCGGCCCGGAGAUCGUUCUUCAAGCGCAUCAAACCGCAAAGAAGCUCAUCGCGCGAUUCUAAAGAAUUGGCCAGCUUUAGCAACACGCACCUGAGCCUGUACCUUGAUUCGGGAUCACUGAGCGACGAUGGGUUGAGCAGCUACCAACGCGUUGAACGGCUGGAAUACACCUAUCGGCCAGUGAUCAUUUUGGGACCGCUGUACGAGUUUGUCAUCGAUAAGCUGUGCGUAGAUUUCCCGGAGGACUUUGCCGUCCUGCAGGAGAGUCAGAAGAAAUGUACCAAGGACGAGAUGGAGCUUGCAAUACAGAACAAUACAAUCGCUGACUAUAAGAUGCGUAGCAAUGGCAUAUUCGAGUACACCAGCAUGCAAGCCGUGCGUGACAAUAAGCAAUGUCAUUGCAUAUUGAACGUGGGCAUGGCGGCAGUAGAACGAUUGCAGCGCGCACAAAUCUACCCGAUCGUGUUGCUGUUGCGCUUCAAAUCGGCCAAGCAAAUCAAGGAGAUCAAAGACUCGCGCUACUCGACUGACAAAAUCUCGGCAAAGGCAGCCAAGGAAAUGUAUGAGCAUACGCUGAAGCUGGAGUCGGAAUAUCGACAGUUUAUCUCCGGAGUGAUUUCGGGCGUCAAUAUUACACACAUGUGUACACAGAUUAAAGCGGCUGUGGAUUGCGAACAGAAGAAGAUCUUGUGGGUUUCGAUCCCAUCGCCGUUGUGACCAUCCAUGAACUAUCUUCGUCCCGAUGAAGAUGAACGAUUGGCCUAAUCGAUACGCAAGCUGCGUAUCAACCAACGAACAAACAAGUUGUUAAGGGUUUCGCUUGAAAAUGAUCCACUAAACAACGCCCAAACCAAACGGUCACGCACGGUCAAGAUGACGAUGACACACACCUGCUUAACGGAUGGAGUACUGCUCCGGAACUGCAACGAGUGCGACGAGAAAGCCUUUCGCCUGGCGGCUCAAACCGUUGCCUGAAUAGGACUGGUCUAGCGUAGGUUCGCACCGUCCGGGAAACCGUCGUCGGUCGUCGGUAAACCGAAUCCGCCACACACGUUCCUCUCACGAACACAGCAGCAGCAGCAGCAGCAGCGGCAGCAGCCCAAUCUCCGGACACAUGGCCAAGGUGCAUUGCCACCACCCCUAGCGCGCACGCACGGAACGAGAGAGAAAGCAGAGCAAACAUACACACAUACUGCUGCGCCGUGCGGGUUUAAACCAGCGCGACUCGCGAACACGGGAACCGGAACACACUGUCAAGACCGCCCUCAACCUGACAGCUGUGUGCGGGGUGUUCGCGCGUGUGUGUGUGUGAGGACAUGAUCGCCGAUCGGUAGAGAAGCUUUCCUUUUAGUAGGUCAGUAGUAUUUCGAGUCACAUGCGCGCUCUCUCAGCUGCACCGAGAGGAUGAAGACGAGGGUGAAAAUAGGGGUGGUGGUGGAUGGGGUUAGAGAGAAGAAGGGUAUGUUGGGGAGAGCUUUUUUCUCAUGUUUGCAAAAAGCAAAAACUCGCGCAAAGAGCGCCCGGGUGCAGAGAAAGUAUUGGCGCGGGUGUUUGUUGAAAAAGGGCACAAUGAUCGAUUCCAAUUAUCACACGCUUAAAUGCGUGUGAAUGUACCAUCUUCCUAGAGCCCUUUCCCAUCCUCAAAUACUCCUUUGUUCGCACUGAAUGAGAUGUUUUGUUUUCCAAAACACUCCGCCAAUAGUUUCGAGGAAAAAAUCCCACGCGUUUUUUGUUUUAUUAAAAACUUCCAAUUAAAUAAUUGUUAUAAAUUUGUUAGGAAGUUUACGCAAAAUGACAUGCUGUUGCAAAG